ACAAAAGCGCAUGUGCUGUGAGCUCGAUGAGUAGGGCGGGACACGUGGUAUCCUGUCUGAAUAUGGGGGGACCAUCCUCCAAGGCUAAAUACUCCUGACUGACCGAUAGUGAACCAGUACCGUGAGGGAAAGGCGAAAAGAACCCCGGCGAGGGGAGUGAAACAGAACCUGAAACCGUGUACGUACAAGCAGUGGGAGCCCCACCACUAAGCCAGUGGUGAACUCCACAUACGCAUCCUUUGCUGAGGAUACGGUUAACGGAGCGAAAGCGACGUUCAACCGCAAAAGAAGCAGAGGGGGCUUAGUGGUGGGGUGACUGCGUACCUUUUGUAUAAUGGGUCAGCGACUUAUAUUCUGUAGCAAGGUUAACCGCAUAGGGGAGCCGGAGGGAAACCGAGUCUUAAUUGGGCGUUAAGUUGCAGGGUAUAGACCCGAAACCCGGUGAUCUAGCCAUGGGCAGGUUGAAGGUUGGGUAACACUAACUGGAGGACCGAACCGACUAAUGUUGAAAAAUUAGCGGAUGACCUGUGGCUGGGGGUGAAAGGCCAAUCAAACCGGGAGAUAGCUGGUUCUCCCCGAAAGCUAUUUAGGUAGCGCCUCGUGAAUUCAUCUCCGGGGGUAGAGCACUGUUUCGGCCAGGGGGCCAUCCCGGCUUACCAAUCCGAUGCAAACUGCGAAUACCGGAGAAUGUUAUCACGGGAGACACACGGCGGGUGCUAACGUCCGUCGUGAAGAGGGAAACAACCCAGACCGCCAGCUAAGGUCCCAAAGUCAUGGUUAAGUGGGAAACGAUGUGGGAAGGCCCAGACAGCCAGGAUGUUGGCUUAGAAGCAGCCAUCAUUUAAAGAAAGCGUAAUAGCUCACUGGUCGAGUCGGCCUGCGCGGAAGAUGUAACGGGGCUAAACCAUGCACCGAAGCUGCGGCAGCGACACUGAUGUGUUGUUGGGUAGGGGAGCGUUCUGUAAGCCGUUGAAGGUGGCCUGUGAGGGUUGCUGGAGGUAUCAGAAGUGCGAAUGCUGACAUAAGUAACGAUAAAGCGGGUGAAAAGCCCGCUCGCCGGAAGACCAAGGGUUCCUGUCCAACGUUAAUCGGGGCAGGGUGAGUCGACCCCUAAGGCGAGGCCGAAAGGCGUAGUCGAUGGGAAACGGGUUAAUAUUCCCGUACUUGGUGUUACUGCGAAGGGGGGACGGAGAAGGC
rnacentral:rRNA from 1 species